rnacentral:ribozyme from 1 species
GAUACUCAAGAAAGAAAAAUAAAGCAGAAGAAGAAAAAAACGAAAGGAAGGGAAAACACUGCAUAUGUAUGUAUGUCGAUUAUGACUACAUCCUUUUUUCA